CGUCCUCACUGGCCGCGGCUCGGCGGCUCCGGAAGGAGGCAGACCUGCCUGCUCUGGACGCCGCGUUCCCCCAGGCCCGGAGCUCCGUGGAGGAAGGCGCCAGGCCCGGUCCCGAGGACUCCCAGGUUUCCUGGAGUGGCCCAGAGUGUACCAGCAGACCACCAUCAUCCUG